rnacentral:rRNA from 1 species
AAAUUGAAGAGUUUGAUCAUGGCUCAGAUUGAACGCUGGCGGCAGGCCUAACACAUGCAAGUCGAGCGGUAACACAGAGAGCUUGCUCUCGGGUGACGAGCGGCGGACGGGUGAGUAAUGUCUGGGAAACUGCCUGAUGGAGGGGGAUAACUACUGGAAACGGUAGCUAAUACCGCAUAACGUCGCAAGACCAAAGUGGGGGACCUUCGGGCCUCAUGCCAUCAGAUGUGCCCAGAUGGGAUUAGCUAGUAGGUGGGGUAAUGGCUCACCUAGGCGACGAUCCCUAGCUGGUCUGAGAGGAUGACCAGCCACACUGGAACUGAGACACGGUCCAGACUCCUACGGGAGGCAGCAGUGGGGAAUAUUGCACAAUGGGCGCAAGCCUGAUGCAGCCAUGCCGCGUGUAUGAAGAAGGCCUUCGGGUUGUAAAGUACUUUCAGCGAGGAGGAAGGCAUUAAGGUUAAUAACCUUGGUGAUUGACGUUACUCGCAGAAGAAGCACCGGCUAACUCCGUGCCAGCAGCCGCGGUAAUACGGAGGGUGCAAGCGUUAAUCGGAAUUACUGGGCGUAAAGCGCACGCAGGCGGUCUGUCAAGUCGGAUGUGAAAUCCCCGGGCUCAACCUGGGAACUGCAUUCGAAACUGGCAGGCUAGAGUCUUGUAGAGGGGGGUAGAAUUCCAGGUGUAGCGGUGAAAUGCGUAGAGAUCUGGAGGAAUACCGGUGGCGAAGGCGGCCCCCUGGACAAAGACUGACGCUCAGGUGCGAAAGCGUGGGGAGCAAACAGGAUUAGAUACCCUGGUAGUCCACGCCGUAAACGAUGUCGACUUGGAGGUUGUGCCCUUGAGGCGUGGCUUCCGGAGCUAACGCGUUAAGUCGACCGCCUGGGGAGUACGGCCGCAAGGUUAAAACUCAAAUGAAUUGACGGGGGCCCGCACAAGCGGUGGAGCAUGUGGUUUAAUUCGAUGCAACGCGAAGAACCUUACCUACUCUUGACAUCCAGAGAACUUAGCAGAGAUGCUUUGGUGCCUUCGGGAACUCUGAGACAGGUGCUGCAUGGCUGUCGUCAGCUCGUGUUGUGAAAUGUUGGGUUAAGUCCCGCAACGAGCGCAACCCUUAUCCUUUGUUGCCAGCGAUUCGGUCGGGAACUCAAAGGAGACUGCCAGUGAUAAACUGGAGGAAGGUGGGGAUGACGUCAAGUCAUCAUGGCCCUUACGAGUAGGGCUACACACGUGCUACAAUGGCAUAUACAAAGAGAAGCGACCUCGCGAGAGCAAGCGGACCUCAUAAAGUAUGUCGUAGUCCGGAUUGGAGUCUGCAACUCGACUCCAUGAAGUCGGAAUCGCUAGUAAUCGUAGAUCAGAAUGCUACGGUGAAUACGUUCCCGGGCCUUGUACACACCGCCCGUCACACCAUGGGAGUGGGUUGCAAAAGAAGUAGGUAGCUUAACCUUCGGGAGGGCGCUUACCACUUUGUGAUUCAUGACUGGGGUGAAGUCGUAACAAGGUAACCGUAGGGGAACCUGCGGUUGGAUCACCUCCUUACCUUAAAGAA